UGCAGUCGAACGAGAUCUUCGGAUCUAGUGGCGCACGGGUGAGUAACACGUGGGAACCUGCCUUUAGGUACGGAAUAACGUCUGGAAACGGACGCUAAUACCGUAUAUUUCCUCCGGGAAAAAGGUCCGCCGCCUAAAGAGGGGCCCGCGUCAGAUUAGCUUGUUGGUGGGGUAAUGGCUUACCAAGGCUACGAUCUGUAGUUGGUCUGAGAGGAUGAUCAGCCACACUGGGACUGAGACACGGCCCAGACUCCUACGGGAGGCAGCAGUGGGGAAUAUUGGACAAUGGGGGCAACCCUGAUCCAGCAAUGCCGCGUGUGUGAUGAAGGCCCUAGGGUUGUAAAGCACUUUCAACGGUGACGAUGAUGACGGUAACCGUAGAAGAAGCCCCGGCUAACUUCGUGCCAGCAGCCGCGGUAAUACGAAGGGGGCGAGCGUUGUUCGGAAUUACUGGGCGUAAAGGGCGCGUAGGCGGUCUAUCCAGUUGGGCGUGAAAGCCCUGGGCUCAACCCAGGAAUUGCGUCCAAUACUAAUAGACUAGAGACCGAGAGAGGAUAGUGGAAUUUCCAGUGUAGAGGUGAAAUUCGUAGAUAUUGGAAAGAACACCAGUGGCGAAAGCGACUAUCUGGCUCGGUUCUGACGCUGAGGCGCGAAAGCGUGGGGAGCAAACAGGAUUAGAUACCCUGGUAGUCCACGCCGUAAACGAUGUCUGCUAGGUGUCGGGAGGUAACCUUUCGGUGCCGCAGCUAACG
rnacentral:rRNA from 1 species